AGCCCAUAGUGUGGACACCUUUUCACCAAAUCUUUAAAUAUAUCCUAAGCUUCAUAGAGUGUUUCCAUAUCCAUCUGAGUAACAUCUGGAUAUCAUUUCUCAGCUU